AAGAUUUUAAGUUAUAUUAAACUGAAGACUUUCAAGGUCUUUUAUAAAUCAUGUGUGUUUAAAUCUUG
rnacentral:tRNA from 1 species